AAAAUAAGAAAUUCGAAGAUAAGCUUCUAACUUAAUCUUUAAGCAGUGUGAUUCUGUUUUUAUUUUA
rnacentral:tRNA from 1 species